ACUGCUCAGUAACACGUGGAUAACCUGCCCUUGGGUCCGGCAUAACCCCGGGAAACUGGGGAUAAUUCCGGAUAACGCAUAUAUGCUGGAAUGCUUUAUGCGUAAAAUGGAUUCGUCUGCCCAAGGAUGGGUCUGCGGCCUAUCAGGUAGUAGUGGGUGUAAUGUACCUACUAGCCUACGACGGGUACGGGUUGUGAGAGCAAGAGCCCGGAGAUGGAUUCUGAGACAUGAAUCCAGGCCCUACGGGGCGCAGCAGGCGCGAAAACUUUAUAAUGCGGGAAACCGUGAUAAGGGGACACCGAGUGCCAGCAUCAUAUGCUGGCUGUCUAGGUGUGCAAAAUACACCUGUUAGCAAGGGCCGGGCAAGACCGGUGCCAGCCGCCGCGGUAACACCGGCGGCCCGAGUGGUGAUCGUGAUUAUUGGGUCUAAAGGGUCCGUAGCCGGUUUGGUCAGUCCUCCGGGAAAUCUGACAGUUUAACUGUUAGGCUUUCGGAGGAUACUGCCAGACUUGGAACCGGGAGAGGUAAGAGGUACUACAGGGGUAGGAGUGAAAUCUUGUAAUCCCUGUGGGACCACCUGUGGCGAAGGCGUCUUACCAGAACGGGUUCGACGGUGAGGGACGAAAGCUGGGGGUACGAACCGGAUUAGAUACCCGGGUAGUCCCAGCCGUAAACGAUGCUCGCUAGGUGUCAGGCAUGGCGCGACCGUGUCUGGUGCCGUAGGGAAGCCGUGAAGCGAGCCACCUGGGAAGUACGGCCGCAAGGCUGAAACUUAAAGGAAUUGGCGGGGGA
rnacentral:rRNA from 1 species